UACAGAGGUCUCAAGCGUUGUUCGGAUUCAGUUGGGCCGUAAAGGGUGCGUAGGCGGCGCGGUAAGUCGGGUGUGAAAUCUCGGAGCUUAACUCCGAAACUGCAUUCGAGUACUGCCGUGCUUGAGGACUGGAGAGGAGACUGGAAUUUACGGUGUAGCGGUGAAAUGCGUAGAUAUCGUAAGGAAGACCAGUGGCGAAGGCGGGUC
rnacentral:rRNA from 1 species